CUGUUUCCAGGCAAUUCUAGUGGUAACGUGUGUUAGAUAUCAACAUGAGUUGUUUGGGUUUUUUUUCAGAUCACAGCAAUAGGUACUUGUACAUGGAAAAUCUCAAAGGAAAAUACUGGUCCUUCGAAUGAAAUGCCUGGGAUGUUUUUCCUGAAUAUUUAAAAAGAAAUUAGGUGGAUCUAAUGCAUGCGAUGUAUGUAAGGACUGAUGACUAAAACUAAGAGGAUGCAGUAAUGCGUACUUUCCAGCAAGUCCCCAGCGUGAAGAAACGCCAACCUCAUUAUAAAAUAUUGUCCAUUCUAAGAAGACGAAUAGGCAGUUCCUUUUCCAAAGCAAUCCAUAAAGGAAUGCUGUGCUCUUUCAGGAUGUUUCGCAAUGCCAGGCCUAAGCUGGAGUCAGCAGCAAAUGACAGCAGCCAUGCCAAAAACAUGCACUUUCUUUACAAAGUUUCCACUUCUGGAGAAACAUCUAACAUUUGCAGUUCAGCUACCAUGUUUCUUAAUUUAAGUGACAUAGCUGCAGUCACAGGCGUGACAUUUACAGCUGCAGCUUUGAAACAACUCGCAUUUGCCAAGCAGAAAUAAAGUUGAUGU